rnacentral:rRNA from 1 species
UACGUAGGGGGCGAGCGUUGUCCGGAUUUAUUGGGCGUAAAGAGCUCGUAGGCGGUUUGGUAAGUUGGAUGUGAAAUCUCCAGGCUCAACUUGGAGGGGUCAUUCGAUACUGCCAUGACUAGAGUUCGGUAGGGGAGUGUGGAAUUCCUGGUGGAGCGGUGAAAUGCGCAGAUAUCAGGAGGAACACCCGUAGCGAAGGCGGCACUCUGGGCCGGAACUGACGCUGAGGAGCGAAGGCGUGGGGAGCGAACAGG